UAGAGGGAAAGUAUAGGCAGAAGGCCCCCAAGUGAGGGGCUUUCUUGGGAAUAGGAUACAGAUUGCUGACAUACUCUUGUCAUAUUUUUUUUAACUGCACUUUUAAAAAUCAGUGAUCAUCUCACUAGAGUGGGCAGAAUUCCAAGUUAAUGGAAUUUCCAAUUGAUAGAAUUCUUCAGGUAUUAUUAAUUUACUAGAUGUUUUAGAGCUAUCUUUCCAAAAAGUUCAAGACAUAUUUUACAUAGACUUUAAGUCUUGUCGUGAAAGGUAAAAUAGAUAAUAAGAAAGUUAUGUGGAAAGAACAGCUGAUUAAAAACACAUUAAUUCACGCUUAUGCUCAGCAAGGGUUUAUGGAGGGCUUACUAUACCUCAGCACACAACCCUGGCUGCUGAGAAGACAAAAAAUGUAAAACAGUAUUUCCUCUUCAUGAGCUGACACUUAGGGGAAGAUCAGUGGAGGCUUAUGGGGUCAGGAAGAGCUUCACGAAUGAAAAUAGACUUGUGGUAGACCUUGAAGGGUUGAAAAACUUUUCAUGAACAUGAAGAGAACAGGAUUGUAGGCAGAGGAAAGGCUGGGAUUCAAGUAAGCUUUAUUAUGAUUUAUUUUAGUCUUGAUUAAGAAGGAGUAUUUGCCUUGGGAAAGUAACAGGAGAUAAAGUGCAAUAGGUAGGGUAGGAGUAGAGCAUUGAAUGCCAUGAGAAGGAAGAAUGAAAGGCUAAGCAAUGUUUAAUUAAAACCUUCCAGCAAACUGAUAUCAAAGAAGAAAAAGAAAGCUCCUUUUUAGCCUGGCCUACCCAGGACAACAGCAGAUGCUGACACUCUGGGACAAACGAUCCCCUUGAAGCGUGACAGCUGCGAUGACUUCCAGAUGUUCAACUCCUGUCUUCCAGCGGGCUGGGGUGGAUGUGGUAAACUCGGGGAUGGAAACCGAAAACCCAGCCAGAUGGACUGUGUCAGCAUCAGCCACUCACACAUCUGGCUCCAAUACCGGCAGCGAUAACCAGAACAAAUGGCUGCUGUUCCUGCUGCCCUUGGCUUGUCAGUGUCCAGGGACACGAUCAGGAAGGUGUGGGCAUGAGGGAGGUGUGUGGAUUGGAUCAGGCAGGUUGAGGACAUCAGAGAGGGCAAGCUGGGCCUGGAGCCCCAGACCCGAAACUGGUUGGGGUUUUGGCUCAGCUUUGCUUUGCCUGGGCAUCAGGCUGGGCUGGAAUUUGAGAUCCUCCUGCCUCAGCCUCCCUGAGUGCUGAGAUUAUAGGCAUGUGGUACCAUGUCUGGCCCCUCCUCUACCCUCUACCACUGAGCUACCCCCUGUCCUCCCUCUCCUCCUGAGUCCAUAAAUAGAGCUCACCAACAGUGAUGGGGCAGGAGUAGAUCUUAGCUGUUUUUAUCCCUAUGAUCAAAUUUUCUAAAUAAUACAAUCAGAAAAAACGAAUACUCUGAAACAAGAUGGAGUGUACAGAGCUGGAUGGGAAGGAAGGUAACCAGGCCUACACCUGCUGGCCUGCAGAAAGGGACUGAGUGGCACUGUGUGUCAUCAGCUCUGCUUUCUAACAGCAUAUGUUGUGCAUUUGAAAUGGCCACUAAUUUAGCACCAAAACACUUGGAUUUCGGUCCUGAUUCUGAUGCCAAUGAGCCUGGUGGUGGAAGAUAUAUUUUGGUUUCCUCCAUUAUAAAUUGGAGCGAUUUUUUAAAAACUUCAUAUGGUUCUCUGACACUGAAAGUUUACAAAGAGAAAUGAAUUAAGGGUGGAACUAGAAUCCAAGUUCUGUCAUAAACCAUGUAACUGUGGUAUUUACUUCAUUUCUUUGAACUUCAAUUUUAUCACCUGAACAACUGGCUCGGGGAAAUGGCUUUGACAGAUAUGAUGUUCUACAUAUACAUGUUUUGUUUUAUUUCUUUUGUGUAAAAGAGAAAACUGGGGUGCAGAGACACUGACUUGCCCCAAGGCCACAAAUAGACAAGUGUUAGGAAUGCUUUGGCUUGGCUUAGGUUGACAUGCAGUCACCUCAGUGUGGCUUUGUGCUUCUCCCUCCUUCUGCCUUCUGUUUUAAGGUCAGGGUGUUGCUCCCAGCUGAUGUGGUCCUUGAGGAAGAGGAGCCUCAAAUUGAGGCCUAGACCAAAGGUGCCUCAGCUUUCAGCUUCAAGUCACUGGAGUGCUCACUCAGGGUCUGUCCUUCAAGUUUCCAGCAAGUAGCUGCUCCCUUUCUGGGACUACAUCCCAGGACACAUGAUUUUAGAUACUGUCUUUUAGCUUCCUCCCAUGGGAGUGACUGUGUAACACAGCUGAGAGAAUGGACUCUGGAGGGAGUGACUAAGGCUGAAACCCUAGUUUCCAGUACUUAGUGAUGUGGGGCCUUUACAAGCUGCUUCUCUGCUGCGGAUCCGUUUCCUUGUCUGCAAGUGGAUUCUAGUAGUAUUUACCUCACAAGGUGAUGUUGAGAAUUAAAAGUUGAAUAUCUCAUGAUAAUGUCUGCACACACUACACACUAUAGAAACACUAUUACUAUCAUCAGGUUGAUCGGCAUACACUUUUCCACCACUUGUCAUUCCAAAAUACCCAAAUAACUAUUUUUGGUUAAACUAAUAUUAAAUAUUUACAUUAUGACAAUAUAAAUAUUAUGCCCAGGUAAGCCACAUAGAAACCUAUAAUUAUGUUUCCUUUCCCAUUCAGCCUUUUGUUUUCCCUGGAAUUAAGACUGUUCUGUUUUUGUGUUUUGUUUAGUUUGCUAGGUACCUGUUAUUAAUUCAUCCAUAAAUUCUCCUGUCCAUGCAUUCAAAUACAUGUAUGCUCUUGGUAUUGUUAUUUCCCUUGGCAACCCUUCCUGGAUCUUUUUAGGUCUCCUCUUCCCAGCUGGACAAGUUCCUCUGUAGCCUGAUGAAAAGGACACUCCCUGAAUAAAACAUUCUGGGAGUCCCUUCAACAUUAUCUUGGCAUUUAUCUUUACUACUUUCUUGUUUUGGAGUCCUUGUUGCCUAAAUUAUAUGCGUGAUAGAAACUGUUGGUUAUCCUUCCAAAUCCAUGUUUUCUUUCUUCCAUUGUAUUUCUUCUGUUCUAUUAGAACGGUAACUAAUAUCUGGCCAUCUAACCAAAGACUGUUUUCCAAUUCACUCUUAAAGUUAAGGGUUACCACAUGAGUGGUUUUUGCCAAAUGAAUGCAAGUGGAAGCAAUGCAUGCCAUUUCCUGGCCUGCUCCACGAAAACCUCUACACUUUUUCCAUCUGGUGAAUUGGAACAUGAAAAUCUCUCCAAUCAAACUGUGAUCAUACAUGAAAGGAUAAUGUCUGAAGAUAAUCAUUCUCAAACUUCACCAAGUAGUAGAGUCACACAGAAGUCUUAUUAAAACACAGAUUUCUGGGUUUCACCCCUCACAUUCCUGAUUCAUUAGAUCUGUGUUGGGACAUGAAGAUUUUCAUUCCCAUCAAGUUCCCCAAGUGACCUUGAUGUUGCUAGCUUGGGAAUUACACUGUAAGAACCACUGUCCUAAGAGUAGCAUAAAAACCAUGAUAAAGGUCAUUCAGUGUUCCUGGAAUGACUAAGUGGAGCAGAGUUGCCCUGCUCUCUGGAAUACAGUACUUAUUCUAGGUUAUAUGAGGAAAAAACCUCCAAGUUUACAUUUUCAUUAACCACUUACUUAUUUUGGGGGUUUCCAAAUUAUAGCCAUCAAAAUUGUUAAUAAUAUUAAAAACAGAAAACAAGAGAGCAAUUUUGUCUUCUCUUCCUUGAGAUUAAGAAGGAUAAAGUCAGAGGGGAAUGGAACAGUCAUGGCAUGGUCAGAGAGCUCUGUAGGGAUGGGACACAGGCAGAAUCCUGGGCCCUUGCCUGCUACCCAUUAAAAGCAUGAUUUGUGUUUUCUCCUGGGACAGCCAGGGACUUAAAAGCAAUUUUUGCUAUGAACCAUAAUUCUUCACUUGGUCCUACAGAUGUCCAGUAGGAAACAAAAAGCAGAAUAAAGUUUAACCUUCAUUUUGUGUCCUUUGUAACUAUAAAUCUUGGGUCAGAUCUCUUCUCUGUUCUGCAUAGGAAUAUGUUGAUCAUUUAGGGAGUGUCUAUCUAGGAGCUGGCCAGACAGGGUUGAUUAGCCCUGAGUUUACAUGAUCUCAUCCCCCUUCAGACUGAGGAUACCAAGAUAAAAGGUUUACCAGGACAAUCAGCUACACCCAGAAGGCUUCACCCACUGUCCUAAACCUGUGAUCACCUGGAUUCCAGGAAAGGUGGAGCCCCACAUGACUAAGAUCACCACAGAGACAGUUCUUUUCUGGGAAUAAAACUAUCUUUCAGCCAUAAAGAUUCCAGAACUGUGAUACCAGGACUAAGGUAAUGGUCAACUGGAUCCCAGUCCACCAGCUAAUCCUUGAAAGCUGGCCUUCCACUUUGUGGGAGGACCAGUCUGAACCCCUGCUGUAUGAGAGAAUGGCCCUUCCAGCUACCUAAACUUUCCAUCUUCCCAGUCACUUUCCAAUUACAGUGGUACCUCAGUUCAUGAAGUUAAUUUUUUCCACGAUUCUGGUCACAAACCAAAUUGGAUGACAACCAAAUCAAAUUCAGUGGUUAGGUUCAAUGCUGACCUUAUGGGGAAAUUUGAUUCCAUUCUAGUCCAAUUCAGUUUGCACCCCGAAUCAUGGAAAGAAUGAAGUUUGUAGCUCAGCCCACUUUCCACCAGGAGACCGAGCCCGUGAGGACCCCUGGGCUUGCCCACCAGCCUCCAGCUUGGCCCUUCGGGUGGGCACAGCGGGCACAGGCUGAGUGAGCGCUGCUCAGUCCAGCUCACUCUGCCCACUUUUGACCAGGAGACCGAGCCAGUGAGGACCCCUGGACUUGCCCAGCAACCUCCAGCUUGGCCGCGUGGGCACCUGCAACAACAGCCCCCACCCCCACUCCGCCUCUUGGCUGUACAGCUACUUGGA